rnacentral:lncRNA from 1 species
ACGACUAAUAAUCACAUGAAGAAACCAGCUUGACAAACUGUGACUUUGACGGCUAGCACAGGGGACAAUGAGAUGGCAGCAUGGGCGUGGUCUUCUCUGGUUUGGGAUUGGGUGUUGGGGACUCUGAUGAGACUCAGAUGCCUAUCAGCUCCAAGCGAGACUUUGACCUCUGUAGAAAUCGACAAGCAAACAAGCAAGCAACCAACUGAACCACCCAGCCAUCCACACACCAGUCAACUGGCCAGCUCCAUAACCUAGUUCAGGAGGCGCCGAGGAGGGUGACGUUCUUGUCAUAGUUUACAUAUGGCCCUCAAAAAUCAGUUAAUUCAACAAACAAUGGUAAGCACUGCUCUGAGCUUUGACUUGUCGAUUUGGCCUUAUAGAUUUCUUUGAAAGUUUCACCUCUACUUUGUGACGCUAUCUUCCCUGUGAGGAAACAGGUGUCAGAGGCUCUCCAGGGACAAAGAGGCUUCUGGUGCUUGACAGCAGAUGACUGCAGAGUCCGGCACCACCCCUCCAAGACCACAGAUCUUUGCUUCAGAAACAACGCUGGAUUCUCCAAGUUUAUGAACAAAAGAUAAACUAUUCAUGAGCAAAUAGCAAAACUGAGUAAGCAUGAUACAAAAUUAAUAAGACAUACAUUUUAGAGUAAAGGAAUUAGUAAUGAACUACUAUUUACUACAGAG